rnacentral:misc_RNA from 1 species
AACCAUAGAAACCUGCGGAGUACCUGCGGAGGGAUCAUCAUUGAAAACAAAUUUGGACAAGGGGAUUGUGAUUGACGGGGGGGAGGGGAAAGUUUUAUUUCCUGAGCCUUGAGAGAACAACCUCUUGGACAAAAACAACCAAUCUUCAUGACUAGGAAAAAACACAGUAAAGUAAACCAGUGGUUUGGGGGGGGGCAUAAACAACAAACAAGUUCUUGUCUGACAAGUAGUGUUUGGUGA